rnacentral:lncRNA from 1 species
CCUCGUCUGCUGAAAUUGUAUCGUGCCAGGAAGGGCGCCUUUAGUCGAGAGAUGGAAACCCUUUUGGAAAUGCUUGACAAACAGGCAACUGAUGCAGAUGACAAACAGAUGAAAGGCAUCAAGAUGGGGGUCCUCACAGUACUUGAUGAUGAUGACGACGCAGUCAUUAAUAUUGCCCUUGUGCUGGAGAAAACCAUUGUCCUGAAAGACAUCCCAGAUACCCCGACUGCACUUGCGUAUCUUUUUGGCUUGCUUUAUGCCCUCAACAUGGAGUUCCCAAAAGACAUCAGGUAUACCUUUGAAACUAUCCAGCACAUUUUUAUGGAAAUGUCCACCAAUUGCUCACAGCGUGUCCGGAGCUUCAAGACCAAGCUGUUAAACCAGUGAUUCAUUUUCCAUGGGGAAGAUUUAUUUUAUAAUGUUAUAAUGUAUGUUUGGAUAUUUUGUAAGUCUUCACAUAGACCACCUUAUAGUUUUUAUGUUGUUCCUUUAUUUUGACUAAAAACAAAUCUGUUAUUUGUUGCUGUCAUAUAACUGUCACAAGACUAUUGAUUGUUUCUCAGUAGAAGCAAGCUUUGUUUCAGCAUUGCUGUUAUAGUCUGCAUCUUUGCUGGUGUGGCAAGUGUCCAUGGGGAAGAUUUCUUUUAUCAAGUCUGUUCAUUUAGUAUGUUUGGAUAUAUUGUAAGUCUUCACAUAGACCACCUUAGUUUUUAUGUUGUUCCUUUUGAUUUCCCCAACUUAUUGACAUGUGCCUUAUUUGCUCUGGACACAAGUGCUUUAUUUGAACUAAAAACAAAUCUUUUAUGUGUAUCUGUCAUAUUACUGUCAAGAGACUAUGGUAUUGAUUGUUCAGUAGAAGCAAGAUGUGUUUCACCAUUACUGUUAUAGCCUGUAUGUUUGCAUUUUUGGCUAAUUUCAAAGUUCAGAAAGUUCAGAUAAUUUGGCUUUUUCAGCUGGGGAUUUACACAUUUCUGUUCUUAGGCACUAUACAACUGUUUAUCUGUAAUCUUUGUCAAUACUGCAUUAUUUGUAAGGUCUCAACAAGAGUCGGAAAGUAAAAAAUAAAACUGCCCAUAUUAUAGUACUGAAACCUGAUGUAUUUGCUUUGGGUAUAAGAUUACUUGUUUACAUUGCCCAUAUUAUGGUACUGAAACCUGAUGUAUUUGCUUUGGGCAUAAGAUUACUUGUUUACAUUGUGGAAUUGUAAAGCUGUUUGUGCCAAAGUCGUUCAAAUAAACAUGCAUAAAUUAACUGGUUUACUGUCAGUGGAUGAUUUAACGUGGGGGGUAAUUUAAACUCAAAAUAGUAAGUUAUUACAGGGGAUGGUAAUCUGAACUCAAAAUAGUAAGCUUUUACAGACUUGAAAGUUCCAGUAACUUGAAUUUAAAAAACUUAGUUGUCAGAACUUGAAAAACUUAGCUGACGCAACUUAAUAAUUG